rnacentral:lncRNA from 1 species
GCAUUUUUUAUAUCAAGUUGAUGUAGAGGCCAAUCAGAGUUUACAGCCAAAGAUAGAAGAAUUCUGAUAGUGUUGAGUUUGGCAACAGGAGCAAAGGUCUCAGUGUAGUCAAUCCCGUACGUUUGAGUAAAGCCCUUGGCCACUAGACGCGCUUUGUGUCUUUCAAUUGAACCAUCAGCCUUAUACUUGACAGUGAAUACCCAUUUACAACCCACUGUAUUUUUUUCUUGUGGCAACUCUACCAGGCUCCAUGUAUUGUUCUGUCUAAGGGCGUGCAUUUCUUCAAGAACAGCAGCUUUCCACUCGGGAAUAGAUAGGGCCUCUUCAAUGGAUCUAGGAAUCAAAACACUAGACAAACUCGAGGUGAAAGCAUGGAGUGAAGGAGACAGAUUUGAGUAAGAUAUGAAUUUAGAAAUGGGGUGAUGAGUGCAAGAUCUAACACCUUUUCUUAAUGCUAUUGGCAUAUCUAGAUCAGGAAUAGGACUGAAUUUACCUGACUCGUUUGGUGAAUGAGACUCUACCAUCGGUUCAUCCUCGUGACUGUGAGUAGGAUUCAUGAUUUCUUUAUUUGCUUGAGACUUUUUCUUUCUAGAGUAGACUUGCAAUUCUGGUUGUUUAGAUAUUGAAAGUGUUGAAUCUCCUCUUGUUUCCAAUACUGGUGAAAUUGGAUCAAUUACAGGAGGACUGAUUUUAGUUGACUCAGGAAUAGAGACGGCUGUAUCCAACUUAACAUCAAGUAAGGGCAGGUCAUGGAUAUCCCAAGAACAGCAAGCUUCAUCCCAUUUCUCCCCCUGAAGCGAAGUUGGAGAAAAAUAUGGUGUAUUUUCAAAGAAUGUGACAUCACAAGAAAUAUAUGUUUUUUUAGUUUGUGGACAGUAACACCGAUAUCCUUUUUGGGUUGGAGAAUAGCCAAUGAAAACAGUUUUGAUGGCUCGAGGGUCAAGUUUACUUCUAUUAUGGUCAUGAAUAUGGACAAAUGCUGUGCAACCAAAAAUUCUUAAUGGAAGUGUAUUAGACUUAGAGACAUGUGGGUAGGUUUUUGAAAGAACAGACAAAGGGGUUUCAAAAUUGAUAGGACGACUUGGCAUACGAUUUAUGAGGUAGGUAGCAGUGAGGAUAGCAUCCCCCCACAAGUACUUUGGGAUAUGCAUGGUAAACAUGAGAGCCCGAGCUACCUCUAACAAAUGACGAUUUUUUCUUUCCAAUACUCCAUUUUGUUGUGGAGUAUCAACACAAGAGCUUUGAUGUUGAAUUCCAUUUUCUAACAAAUAAUCACCAAGAAUGGAAUUGAAAUAUUCUUUUCCAUUGUCAGUUCUUAGAACACGAAUUUGGCUUUGAAAUUGAGUUUGAAUCAUUUUGUGAAAAACUUUGAAUAUGUGACUGGCUUCAGAUUUGUUAUGUAGGAGAUAAACCCAUGUAACCCGUGUGUGAUCGUCUAUAAAUGUAAGAAACCAUCUUUUCCCAUGGCAAGUUGUAAUUUUUGAAGGUCCCCAUAUGUCACUGUGGAUCAAAGAGAAUGGAGUGGAAGGAAUGUAAACCUUUGGAGAAAAAGACAUGCGAGUAUGUUUAGCUAAUUGACAAAUUUCACACUCAAAAGAAACAGUAUUUUUAUUAUCAAACAAAGACGGAAAUAGACGUUUUAGAUAUAAAAAACUAGGAUGGCCAAACCUAUGAUGCCAUAACAUUAUUUCAUUAGUACUAGAAACAGAUGUAGAAGCAACACCAGACAAAAAAAUUUGUUGACUCUUUGGGUGAUCAUCAUUAAAGUAAUAAAGACCAUCAUGAAUCCUAGCACUGCCAAUCGUCUUCCCCGAUGAUAGGUCCUGAAAUUGACAAGAAGAAGACAAGAAAUUAGCAACGCAAUGAUUGUCACGUGUGAUUUUGCUAACAGAGAUCAGGUUGCAUUUUAGGGCAGGGACGUGGAAGACAGAUUUGAGGAUUAAAUUUGGAGAUAGUUUUAUGUCACCAAUUCCAACUACUAGUGUAAAAGAUCCAUCAGCAAUUUUAACAGUGAUAUGUUUAGAACAAGGGACAUAAGAGUGAAAACAAUUAGAGCUACCUGUCAUAUGAUCAGAGGCCCCGGAAUCAAUUAUCCAAGGGUCUGUAGAUUGAAUCAUUGAUUGGGAAUUUAGGACAGAGUAGAGUUUACCAGAUUUGGCAACAGAACAUGAUCCACUGGUGGAGUUUGCAUAGUUGGGUGGAUGGGUCUGAGAGGCAUUGACAGAAGAUAAAUUGAGAAGUUUGCAUAGUUGGUCAAUUUGUUCCUUGCUGAACGGAAUAGAUGCACCAGAGUGGUCUUGAUUGGAUUGGGUAUGGUGUGCACGUCCGUCAUUUUUUUUUCGAGGCUGCCAAUUUGCUGGUUUCCCAUGAAUCUCCCAACACUUGUCCCGAGUAUGUCCAGGUCGAUUAUAAUGAUCACAUCAUGGUCGCUUGUUCGAACGAUGAUCAGGAUGCUGCUGUCCAUUUGAGUGAGUUUUAGUAGUCAUUAAGGCUGAUACUUCUGGUGCGGAUGGAGGUACAGAUUUGUCAUCCGAGAGCAUCACCUUUCGCCUAGCUUCCUCACGUCGUACUUCUGCGAAGGCUUCGUCAGUAGAAGGGAAAGGCUUUUGAGCCAUCACUCGGCCCCGUACCUCAUCUAGAUUUCUAUUAAGACCAGCAAGGAAAUCAAAUACUCUUUCUUUUUCAAGGUUAUGCUUUUGCUUGACACUGCACUCAGCACAAAAUGAGUCAUCUUCAAAAAACAGAUCUAAUUCUUGCCUAAAUAAAUUCAUCUGCUGUACCGUACAUCCGCCUUGGCCGUACAGCAGAACAAUUAGAGCUACCUGUCAUAUGAUCAGAGGCCCCGGAAUCAAUUAUCCAAGGGUCUGUAGAUUGAAUCAUUGAUUGGGAAUUUAGGACAGAGUAGAGUUUACCAGAUUUGGCAACAGAACAUGAUCCACUGGUGGAGUUUGCAUAGUUGGGUGGAUGGGUCUGAGAGGCAUUGACAGAAGAUAAAUUGAGGAGUUUGCAUAGUUGGUCAAUUUGUUCCUUGCUGAACGGAAUAGAUGCACCAGAGUGGUCUUGAUUGGAUUGGGUAUGGUGUGCACGUCCUUCAUUUUUUUUUCGAGGCUGCCAAUUUGCUGGUUUCCCAUGAAUCUCCCAACACUUGUCCCGAGUAUGUCCAGGUCGAUUAUAAUGAUCACAUCAUGGUCGCUUGUUCGAACGAUGAUCAGGAUGCUGCUAUCCAUUUGAGUGAGUUUUAGUAGUCAUUAAGGCUGAUACUUCUGGUGCGGCUGGAGGUACAGAUUUGUCAUCCGAGAGCAUCACCUUU